CGCAAAACCCGCCAACUGGCGGGUUU
rnacentral:sRNA from 1 species